UACUGAGGAAAAUGGGACCACCUACUAGCAAUUACUGCAAACCAAUAGAACAAAAGUUGGGAAAAGAUGAGCCAGAUCAUCGUUAGGACUGAAUACUUCAUGGCUAUCAUAACUCAACUAUUGCAGCUUUUUUGUAGUUUUAUAUUUUUAUAAUGCAUUAUAUAAAUAAACAGAAAAAGAACCACAAAAUCCAUUUAUUAUACCUUUUACACUUUUGUUAUAAUUCCUUAGAAAUAUAUGAUACUACAUCCA